rnacentral:rRNA from 1 species
UCAAGAAACUUCCACAAUGGGCGAAAGCCUGAUGGAGCGACGUCGCGUGAGUGAAGAAGGCCUUCGGGUUGUAAAGCUCUUUUACCAGGGAUGAUAAUGACAGUACCUGGAGAAUAAGCUCCGGCUAACUCCGUGCCAGCAGCCGCGGUAAUACGGAGGGAGCUAGCGUUGUUCGGAAUUACUGGGCGUAAAGCGUACGUAGGCGGUGACUCAAGCCAGAGGUGAAAGCCUGGAGCUCAACUCCAGAACUGCCUUUGAAACUAGGUCGCUAGAAUCACGGAGAGGUGAGUGGAAUUCCGAGUGUAGAGGUGAAAUUCGUAGAUAUUCGGAAGAACACCAGUGGCGAAGGCGGCUCACUGGACGUGUAUUGACGCUGAGGUACGAAAGCGUGGGGAGCAAACAGGAUUAGAUACCCGUGUAGUCCCUGAGCGGGCUGGCAAGGCGCAU